CGCGGGAUGGAGCAGUUGGCAGCUCGUUGGGCUCAUAACCCAAAGGUCACAGGUUCGAGUCCUGUUCCCGCUACUA
rnacentral:tRNA from 1 species